GAGGCUUUGAGCUGAACUCUAAGGUGUUAGCCAGGGUGUCCUAGAGGGGGCAGUGGGGUUGCAGAUGUGACAGGUGUAAAGGCAUGUGGCCCCAUAGAGGCUUUCAGAUGACUUCAGUUUCAGUUCAUGGGAGAGAAGAAUUGAGAGAGAAGACAGAUGGUCUCUUGUUUGUUGUAUCUUGAUAUUAGAGAUUUAGACUUGAGCCAAUCUGUGAGUGUCUCACAGAUAACUUUUAAGAAGGGCGUGGUGGCGCACGCCUUUAAUCCCAGCACCAGGGAGGCAGAGGCAGGCGGAUUUCUGAUUUCGAGGCUAGCCUGGUCUACAAAGUGAGUUCCAGGACAGACAGGACUACACAGAGAAACCCUGUCUCAAAAAAAAAAAAAAAAAGAUUUUAAACUCUCCCAGCAUUUGGGAGGCAGAGGCAGGCAGAUCUCUGAGUUCGAGGCCAGCCUGGUCUACAGAGUGAGUUCCAGGACCAGGACAGCCAGGGCUACACAGAGAAACCCUGUCUCAAAAGACAAAAACAAUCCCAGCAACUCAGGAGGCAGGCGAAUUUCUGAGUUUUCGAGGCUAGCCUGGUCUACAAAGUGAGUUCCAAGACAGCCAGGGCUAUACAGAGAAACCCUGUCUCGAAAAAACAAACAAACAAACAAACAAACAAAACACAAAAAGAAUUUAAACUCCUUUCAGAAAAACACGCAUAUGCACUAAGCCCUAAGAUCCUGCUGCUAGGGACUGAGCAUGGAAAGGGUUUUGCUCCCAUGCCUGAUGACCUAGUUUGCUUCUAAGGAACCACAUGGUGGAAGAUGAGAACCAACUAAGGAGAGUUGUCCAUUUCUACCCCACCUUGAUCGUUCAGUUCCUGGAUAAAAGAUGCAACCUUUAACUUAAAAUAUGCCUUUAUCAGCUCUAAACCUGGGCAGAUAUCUAUGCUCUAUGCUAUUAGAAUCUAAUUUCCUAUCGAUAACUCUGAGUUAUUACUAUGUUCCAUCUGAGCUACUCUUAAUUCCAAUAGGUCAGCCCUCAUGGCCAUGAUUUUAAAAUUCUUAUCCCAUGGUGUCUUAUUUUCUCUCUCCUUCCUCUCUCUCAUCCUCAUGGUCUCUUCAGACUCCAAGCCAAGGAAUCACAAACCCCACCUAUCUCAAUUCUGCCCAGCUAUAGACUGUAGGCAUCCUUACUCACCAAUCAGGGAUAACUCGGGGCAAGGUCACACAGCAUCACAAGGAUCUAAAUUCAGACUCUCUCCUCCCUGGGGAUAAGCAGACCUUGGGGAGCUGUUGGAGUCUGUCCAAAGACCUUAACUCACAAAGACCACAGAGACAGCCACCGCUGCAGACCACAAGAGGAUUUUUAUUGAUUCAAGUCGUUGAAGAUCCCCCCUCUCAGCAUGCAGGCCAGAGGGGAGACCCAGAACAAAGAAAGAACACACUUUUUAUAAGGGGCAGAUUUAGGCAACAGGGCUAGCUGGCUUAUUCUCACUGGUGUAGCAAGUAACGUUUUCAGGCAUUGGUUGGUUUGCAAAGUGACUAGUGACUCACUCUGCCUACCCCCAUGGUUGGUUAUUAUGAUUUGGUCAGCAAAGCAGCAGUACAUUUUGAAUUUAUGGGUUAGUUAUUAAUGUCACAGCUAUUAACAUCACAGGGAAUUCUAGCAAGGUCAGGGUGGUUUGUGGUCUUUCUCAGAAUUCAGUGUGGGGCAGGGUAGGGGAAUUUCUCUUGGAGCUGCUAAUCCUGUUAUGGUUAUUUUUCUGAGAACAGUUCAUUUUGUUUUGGCAGCUAUAGACUUAGUCAUUUUGACCGCUAUGUUUCUGAAAGUCCCUUUAAGGGGGGAAGGGGCUAGGUGGUCUUGAGUUUAGUUUGGAUUCUACAGAGCCAGUAUUUAGCAUUACAAUAUAAGCAGAAGACCAAACUUUAAAAGAGAUGUAGCUGAGGGAUACAGCACUUGUCUGUUUGAGGUUCUUGGGUUCUUUUCUGGCAGGGGAGGGAGAGGCAUUACCAGAGAGAGUGAGAGCCAUUGAAGAAUUUCUAAACACAGAAGCCAUCUAAUCAGAAGUGAGACUGGCUGGGCGUGAUGGUGCACUCCUUUAAUCCCAGCACUCGGGAGUCAGAAGCAGGCAGAUUUCUGAGUUUGAGGCCAGCCUGGUGAGUUCCAGGACAAAGUGAGUUCCAGGACAGCCAGGGCUAUACAGAGAAACCCUGUCUCGAAAACAAACAAACAAAACAACAAAAAAGAAGUGAGACUGGAAACAGGAGCACCAGUUGGGAUUCUCUUGCAAGACCCAGGGCACAAAGCAGUAAAAGCAAUAAGGCCUGCUGGGAGAGGCACCAGGAACGAGGGUGUACCAGGAUGUGGUCACAAACUGAGUAACAAUCACAAUUAUCCCCAAUGCCAUUCUAUUCUACUUCCUUAGUUACAGGAUCUCCAACUCAGUACCAAGGACAGAGACUCCACUUCCCAGCUUCCUUUGCAGUUUGCUAUAGCUUCUCAACUACACAUGAAUAGUGAGACUUCAGGCAAAGGGAAGGGACAUGCACCUUCCCUUUCCCGUUGGCCAGGAUGCUGUAGCCAUCCAGCUUGAUCCAUAAAGAUGAGGCUAAUGCCCUGCAAACAGAAAAGGAGUCGGAAGGAGAUGGGGUACUGUUACACCUGCUCUGGGGUGCUUAUUCCUUUUUUGAUAAAAUCCAAAAGUAUUCUCAUCCAAAAGUACACCACUGUCCACUGGGACCCCUCCUGAAAUCAGAUAACAUCCUUGAGACCUCAAGACAGUCCAAAGGUGUGAUGGUUUGUAUAUGCUCAGCCCAAGGAGUGCCACCAUUAGAAGAUGUGGCCCUGUUGGAGUAGGUGUGUCACUGUGGGUGUGGGCUAUAAGACCCUCAUCCUAGCUGUCUGAGAGUCUCCUACUAGCAGCUUUCAGAUGAAGAUAUAGACCUCUCAGCUCUGCCUGCACCAUGCCUGCCUAGAUGCUGCCAUGCUCCCACCAUGAUGAUAAUGGAUUGGACCUCUUAACCUGAGAGCCAGUCCCAAAUAUGUGUUGGCCUUUAUAAAACUUGCCUUGGUCAUGGUGUCUGUUCACAGCAGUAAAACCCUAACUAAGACAGAAGUUGGUACCAGGGACUGGGGUCAGGCCUGACCAUGCUUUUGUUUGGAAGAAUGUGGAUUUAGGGACUUUGGAUUUGGAAAGCCAGUAGAUGUUUUAAGUGAGGCUUAAUGGAAUCCUAGUAGAAAUAUGGAAGACUUUGUUGCUGUAAGUGAUUUGAACUGUGCAGACCUGGCCCAAGAGGUUUCAAUGGGGAAGAACUUCAGUACGUGGCCUAGAGACUGUUUUUGUAGUGUUUUGGUGAAGAACAUAGCUGUUUUUUGUCCUUGUCUGAAGAAUCUUCCUGAGGCUAAGGUGAAGAGACUCAGAUUAAUUACAUUGACAAAGGAAGUCUCAGAAAUGCCCAUCAUAGACUUUUUUUCUCUGGUUAGUCCUCAUGAAGAGCAUUUUAAACAAGCAUAGUCAGCCGCGAAAGG
rnacentral:lncRNA from 1 species